UAGGGAAUUUUCGGCAAUGGGCGAAAGCCUGACCGAGCAACGCCGCGUGAACGAAGAAGGUCUUCGGAUUGUAAAGUUCUGUUAUAGAGGAAGAACGGUGUACGUAGGAAAUGACGUACAAGUGACGGUACUCUGUGAGGAAGCCACGGCUAACUACGUGCCAGCAGCCGCGGUAAUACGUAGGUGGCGAGCGUUAUCCGGAAUCAUUGGGCGUAAAGAGGGAGCAGGCGGCCUGGAGGGUCUAUUGUUAAAAGGCAGUGGCUUAACCAUUGCAAGGCGAAGAAACCGGCAGGCUAGAGUUCU
rnacentral:rRNA from 1 species